rnacentral:rRNA from 1 species
GUCGGUGUGUCGCGCGGCAAGGUUCGACCCGUUCCCAUUCCGAACACGGUGGUCCCCCUUGCCUACGCUGGUGGUACUGAGGGCGCAGGCCCUUGGGAGGCCCAGGCCAUGCCGACA